rnacentral:rRNA from 1 species
AUUGAACGCUGGCGGCAUGCCUUACACAUGCAAGUCGAACGGUAACAGGUUAAGCUGACGAGUGGCGAGCGGGUGAGUAAUGUAUCGGAACGUGCCCAGUCGUGGGGAUAACUGUUCGAAAGAGCAGCUAAUACCGCAUACGACCUGAGGGUGAAAGCGGGGGAUCGCAAGACCUCGCGCGAUUGGAGCGGCCGAUAUCAGAUUAGGUAGUUGGUGAGGUAAAGGCUCACCAAGCCGACGAUCUGUAGCUGGUCUGAGAGGACGACCAGCCACACUGGGACUGAGACACGGCCCAGACUCCUACGGGAGGCAGCAGUGGGGAAUGUUGGACAAUGGGCGCAAGCCUGAUCCAGCCAUGCCGCGUGCGGGAAGAAGGCCUUCGGGUUGUAAACCGCUUUUGUCAGGGAAGAAAAGGUUCUGGCUAAUACCUGGGACUCAUGACGGUACCUGAAGAAUAAGCACCGGCUAACUACGUGCCAGCAGCCGCCGUAA